GAUCCUGGCUCAGGAUGAACGCUAGCGGCAGGCUUAACACAUGCAAGUCGAGGGGCAGCGGGAUGUAGCAAUACAUUGCCGGCGACCGGCGGAUGGGUGCGUAACGCGUAUGCAACCUACCUUAUACAGGGGAAUAACCUUUCGAAAGGGAGACUAACACCCCAUGGUAUUGAUUUAAGGCAUCUUAGAUUAAUUAAAUAUUUAUAGGUAUAAGAUGGGCAUGCGUAUGAUUAGCUAGUUGGUAAGGUAACGGCUUACCAAGGCGACGAUCAUUAGGGGUUCUGAGAGGAAGGUCCCCCCACACUGGUACUGAGACACGGACCAGACUCCUACGGGAGGCAGCAGUGAGGAAUAUUGGUCAAUGGGCGCAAGCCUGAACCAGCCAUGCCGCGUGCAGGAAAGACGGCCUUAUGGGUUGUAAACUGCUUUUACAUAAGACUAACCGUAUAUUUGCGAAUAUACCUGAAUGUAUUAUGAGAAUAAGGAUCGGCUAACUCCGUGCCAGCCGCAGC
rnacentral:rRNA from 1 species